GUUCCUUAGAUCGUUUCUUCCUACUUGGAUAACUGUGGCAAUUCUAGAGCUAAUACAUGCAGUGAGCCUGAAGCCCUUUGGGCGACGGGUGCUUUUAUUAGACCAAGAUCGAUCGGGUUUCGGCCCGUAUUGUGUGGUGACUCUGGAUAACUUUGUGCUGAUCGCAUGGCCACGAGCCGGCGACGUUUCUUUCAAGUGUCUGCCUUAUCAACUUUCGAUGGUAGGUUACUUGCUUACCAUGGUUGUUACGGGUAACGGAGAAUCAGGGUUCGAUUCCGGAGAGGGAGCCUGAGAAACGGCUACCACAUCCAAGGAAGGCAGCAGGCGCGCAAAUUACCCACUCCCGGCACGGGGAGGUAGUGACGAAAAAUAACAAUACGGGACUCUUUUGAGGCCCCGUAAUUGAAAUGAGUACACUCUAAAUCCUUUAACGAGGAUCAAUUGGAGGGCAAGUCUGGUGCCAGCAGCCGCGGUAAUUCCAGCUCCAAUAGCGUAUACUAAAGCUGCUGCGGUUAAAAAGCUCGUAGUUGGAUCUCAGUUCCAGACGAGUAGUGCAUCUACCCGAUGCGACGGCUCGGACUGAACAUCAUGCCGGUCCUUUCUUGGUGCACUUCAUUGUGUGCCUCGAGAAGGCCGGUGCUUUUACUUUGAAAAAAUUAGAGUGCUCAACGCAGGCGAGUCGCCUGAAUAAACUUGCAUGGAAUAAUAGAACAAGACCUCGUUUCUGUUCUGUUGGUUUUUGGAAUACGAGGUAAUGAUUAAGAGGGACAGACGGGGGC
rnacentral:rRNA from 1 species